rfam:Ornithorhynchus anatinus chromosome 4, whole genome shotgun sequence.
CUCCUCUUAGGGUCACAGCUAGAGAGUUUCCUGUACUCUACCAGUCUUGGCUACAGGAUGGAGAAUCAAGCAGAGGCCUACCCAUUCCAUUCCUAGUUUGGGCAAUGGCUAGCUAGUGGAAGGCAAUCUGCUGCAAGU